UUGUCCGUGCCCCACCCACUCA
rnacentral:miRNA from 1 species